rnacentral:rRNA from 1 species
AGAGUUUGAUCAUGGCUCAGGAUGAACGCUGGCGGCGUGCCUAAUACAUGCAAGUCGAACGAGGUGCCUUUGUAGCAAUACGAAGGUAUCCUAGUGGCGAACGGGUGAGUAACGCGUUGGUGACCUACCCCAAAGUGUGGGAUAACAGAUCGAAAGAUCUGCUAAUACCGCAUGUGGUCUUCGGAUUUAGAAACUGAUGACUAAAGGAGCAAUUCGCUUUGGGAGGGACCUGCGUCCCAUCAGCUAGUUGGUGAGGUAAUGGCUCACCAAGGCUACGACGGGUAGGGGACCUGAGAGGGUGGCCCCCCACAAUGGAACUGAAACACGGUCCAUACACCUACGGGUGGCAGCAGUAGGGAAUAUUGCACAAUGGGCGAAAGCCUGAUGCAGCAACGCCGCGUGUGCGAUGAAGGCCUUCGGGUCGUAAAGCACUUUUCUGAGGGAUGAGCAAGGACAGUACCUCAGGAAUAAGUCUCGGCUAACUACGUG